UGCACAGGCGCCUGGUUUUCUUUUUUUUUAGAACCAGGCGAUUUGUGCACCGUCAGAUCUAUGCUUCAAGAUUGGUGUCCAGCGGCUUCUUACCCCAUCGCACAUUCUGGUCAGUGGGAGACGGAGCAGACGAGGGCGCGCCGGCGCGGGGGGAGAGGAGGGGGGUGGGGCGCUAGGCACGGCUUCUGUCCCCGUCUAGUGAGGUCCUGCGGGGUCGGGCGGGCGGCUAGGCGCAGCUUCUGUCCCCGUCCGGUGAGGUCCCGCGGCGCGCGGUGGGUAGGGGCCUGGUGAGGUGAGGCAGGCCGCGUGGCUUCUGUCCCCGUCCGGUGAGGUGCUCACGUCCCUGCCCGGUGGCGCGGGGCUGGCUCGUUGCGGCUGCUCCACCACGAUGGUCACGACGCGGGCGAGCUCAAGAAUUUCGGGAGUGCGAGGUGGUGGGGACGAGGCGAUUCGCAUCUUCUUCGUCGGCACCAGAGGGGUCCCCUAGUCCGCAAAGACAGCAGAGGCGGGGGAGGAUUUGGAUCUGCACUCGUCGACGGUGAGGUCUGGUCUGCUGUCUGCCGAUUUUGCUUCCCUCUUUGGGGCGAACUUGGCGAGGCGGAGGCAGUAGAGGUGAGGCAUGUCAUGGGUGGCGCGGGCAAGGUGAGUCCUUCGUUUCCUAUAUCCCAGACGAAAGCCCUGGCCAAAUGGCAGAUCUAUGUUGCAUUCCUCGAGAUUGCGUAUCGUCUGGCUCUUGCUGAGGUUGGUACUCACGCCGCAGCAGUCAUAGCUGAUUUUUGGGGCUCAUUCAUCUGGCUCUGUGUUGGUUUAUCGGAUUGGAUUGUGCGUUGAUUUGGGCGUUUUGUGUUGCUGUUAUGUGAUGUUUCUGAACGCCGGCUAACUUUAGCAUUUAUUAGAGCCAUAUUCAGAUUCAAAUUGAAAUAGUGCUUCUGGUCAUGAUUAUGUGUGUUGGUGGUGCUUUUGAUACUGAAACUAACGAUUACCGAAGUACUAAUUGUACCCUACUUGAUUGAUCUUGUAAUAAUCUAGCAAUUUUCAUUUCGUUGUUAUUUUCUGGUGGUAGGGGUUUGCCUAGCAUAAGUGUUGUGUGCACUGAAACUGAAACUAAGGGUUGUAACCUGAUUCUUACUGUUGUUUGUUGGUUGAGUAUGGUUCAAUGCUAGGAGCAGUUUCUGGUGUCCAGAGGAUUUUGAAGCUUUUUUUUUGGCAUUGCAGUCAUGCUAAAAAUACAUAAGAGUGUGCUUUGUGUUUAUGCAUUUUCUACUGUUAUACAUAAUCCGCAUGAAUCAUUUAGUAACCAUUUUUAGUUAGGGUAUUUAAGCGGUUUACUUACUGUGCCAUCUAACAUCUCUUCCCAUGUAUUGUGAUUCAUAUAUCAAUGGUGUUAGGCACUUGUGCAUUUUUCACAAGUAACUUAUCUAUUUUUUCACAAACUGUACAAUGAUUUUUUGGAGUGUAGUAUAUGUGUUUGCCCAUGUUUGCUUAUGCUAGGGUUUUGUUAUUGUAAUGUAAUAGCCUUACCCACAGCCCUUUCCAAUGGGUUUUCCAAUCUUUUCUCUCUCUUUUCAAUUUGGCACCAAUAUGCAAACAAUUCAUAUGUAGAUUUAUCUGUCCUAUCAUAUGUGUUGUCCUCUGUGAAAGACCAAUUGUACUUCUUUUUUUGUUUUCUGUAUGGCUUGCAAUGACAGCCGACUUAAAUUACAUAUGUUGAUUUCUCGAAGAACCAGCGCAACCCCCUGUAAUUGCACCUGUAUUUUUUUUUGUAAUGAUGUAUGUUUGUUGUUCCCCCCUAGUGCAAUUUAUGGCAUCCCUUAGUGCAUUUACACUUUUUUUGGGAGUGCAAUUCUGGCCAAUUAGUAGCGCAAUCGAGAUUAUAGCUGUAUUCAAACAAGAAUCAGAUUUUUCUGAAUCCUGGAAAGGUUUUCCAAGAGUAGUGCAAUUUUACCUAAUUUUUGUAGGUGCACAUCUUGAUUCAUCCUAGCGCAAUUCUUUUUGUGUGCUGCACAUGCAUUUGGACUUGUUAUUUUGUUUUAAUUAACUAUGGCCAUACACUUCUGAUUGUUUGUAGUCCAUUUCUUUUCGCAACUCCCCCAUCGCAAUUAAUGGAGUCCCUUAGCGCAAUUGCACUUCUUUUGGGAGCACAAUUCUGGGCAUUAAGAAGCGCAAUUAAGAUGAUACCUAUAUUCAAACAAGAAUCAGAGUUUUCUAAGUGCUGGUGUGCUUAAUACAAAACUUUGGAUCUUUUGUUCCCCAUAUGGUGUGCUUAAAAUCCCCUUUCACUUAUAUUUUCCGCCCAAGAACCUUUUUCUUCUCUUUUUUUUAAUGUACCAACAAAACAGUACUGCAAGGUGUACUCUUUUUUCUAAGUGCAGUUGCACCCUUCAUCUUCAAUAAUUGCAUUUUCUCUGUUACUAAUUUUGCAGCAUCUGAUUAUACUAUUUUGUACAUGUCUUCGUCAAUUCGCAGCUUUGUAUUAUCUGCAUUCUUUCAUCUAGGUGCAAGCGACAUUUUGCUUGACGUCCUCUUUAAAAUUUUGCUUUUCAUCUAGGCGCAAGCAGCUUUGCAUUAUCUGCAAGGUCUACUUCUUGUUGCUCUGUACUUUUCUCAGAUAUUACAGCCGACGGCAUGCUGAUUGGCCGGAGUUGAACAUAUGUAUGCUGCGUGGACUGGUGUGGGAUUUCCCUGAAGGAAAUGAAGCCCCCAUGUCGGUGGCUGCAUAAAUAAAACAGGAUUUUGGAGUGAGAAUGGUUCUGCAUAAAGAGAUCAGUGAUGAAUGCUGCCCUGGAAAGAUUUUUGGAUUCUGAAUGUAUCUGCAUGGAAGAGAACAGUGAUAAAUGAUGUAAUGGAAGGGAGCUUAGAGUCUGAAUCUCUCUGCACAUCUCUGUGCACAAAAGAGCAAGAACUUUAAACAAGUUUGCACUACAAAAUCAAUUUUUUUCCCUGAUCCUUUUUUUGUAUGCAUUGUUAUAUGUUUCUGGCGCCAAAACCUAAAUUUGCAGUUUGAAUCUCUUUGUUUUGGCACCAAAGGCAGCCAGUUGUUGAUUGUUUUGCAAAACAAA